rnacentral:rRNA from 1 species
GGUAAUACGGAAGGUCCGGGCGUUAUCCGGAAUUAUUGGGUUUAAAGGGAGCGCAGGCGGGAGUAUAAGUCAGCUGUUAAAUAUCAGGGCCCAACUCUGUUAUGCAGUUGAAACUAUAUUUCUUGAGUACGCACAGGGAUGGCGGAAUUCAGGGUGUAGCGGUGAAAUGCUUAGAUAUCCUGAAGAACUCCGAUCGCGAAGGCAGCCAUCCGGAGCGUAACUGACGYUGAGGCUCGAAAGUGUGGGUAUCAAACAGGAUUAGAUACCCUGGUAGUCCACACAGUAAACGAUGUAUACUCGCGGUUUGCGAUAGAGUGUAAGCCGCCAAGCGAAAGCAUUAAGUAUACCACCUGGGGAGUACGCCGGCAACGGUGAAACUCAAAGGAAUUGACGGGGGCCCGCACAAGCGGAGGAACAUGUGGUUUAAUUCGAUGAUACGCGAGGAACCUUACCCGGGCUUGAAC